CAGUUUGGGCUCAUUUUACCCUUGAAGGUCCAGGUUACAAUGAACCUUCAGUAACACAUGCUUGUCGUAAGAGGCGACUAACGGGAUCGGGCGGUUAGGCUCGCUGACUGGGUUGUCACAUGUCAUCGGCUC